rnacentral:rRNA from 1 species
GAUGAACGCUGGCGGCGUGCCUAAUACAUGCAAGUCGAGCGAACAGAUGAGGAGCUUGCUCCUCUGACGUUAGCGGCGGACGGGUGAGUAACACGUGGAUAACCUACCUAUAAGACUGGGAUAACUUCGGGAAACCGGAGCUAAUACCGGAUAAUAUAUUGAACCGCAUGGUUCAAUAGUGAAAGACGGUUUUGCUGUCACUUAUAGAUGGAUCCGCGCCGCAUUAGCUAGUUGGUAAGGUAACGGCCUAGCAAGGCAACGAUGCGUAGACGACCUGAGGGGGGGAUAGGCCACACUGGAACUGAGACACGCACCAGACUCCUACGAGAGGCAGCAGUAGGGAAUCUUCCGCAAUGGGCGAGAGCCUGACGGAGCAACGCCGCGUGAGUGAUGAAGGUCUUCGGUUCGUAAAACUCUGUUAUUAGGGAAGAACAAAUGUGUAAGUAACUAUGCACGUCUUGACGGUACCUAAUCAGAAAGCCACGGCUAACUACGUG